GGUUCCGUGGUGAUAACACUGCCUUACACGCAGAAGGUCCCCGGUUCGAUCCCGGGCGGGACCA